rnacentral:rRNA from 1 species
UAUUGGUCAAUGGCCGGAAGGCUGAACCAGCCAAGCCGCGUGAGGGAAGACGGCCCUACGGGUUGUAAACCUCUUUAGCCGGGGAACAAGGCGCGGGACGCGUCCCGCCGUGAGCGUACCCGGAGAAUAAGCAUCCGCUAACUCCGUGCCAGCAGCCGCGGUAAUACGGAGGAUGCGAGCGUUAUCCGGAUUCAUUGGGUUUAAAGGGUGCGCAGGCGGGCCUUUAAGCCGGCGGUGAAAUCGCGGGGCUCAACCCCGCCGAGCCGUCGGAACUGGGGGCCUUGAGUGCGGCGGAGGCAUGCGGAAUGCGCGGUGUAGCGGUAAAAUGCAUAGAUAUCGCGCAGAACCCCGAUUGCGAAGGCAGCGUGCCGUGCCGCCACUGACGCUGAGGCACGAAAGCGCGGGGAUCGAACAGG